GAUAUGUGUGUGUGAGCCGCCGCGCCCGGUUGUUGCCCGGGGCGCGGCGGGAGAAGUGACCGCAAGACGCGUGCGGAUGAAGGCCUUCUGGUUAUAUCUGCUUUUGGGCGGACCGAAAAGGCUUCCACUAAUACUGGGGGCUCAUGACGGAACCGCAAGAAUAAGCACCGGCUAACUACCUGCCAGCAGCCGCGGUAAUU
rnacentral:rRNA from 1 species